rfam:Pteropus alecto contig61955, whole genome shotgun sequence.
ACUAAUGGACAUGCCACCCUGAACAAGCCCUGACCCUGCUUAGCUUCCGAGAUCUCGUCUGAUCUCGGAAGCUAAGCAGGGUCAGGCCUGGUCAGUACUUGAAUGGGAGACCACCUAGGAAUACCAGGUGCUAUAGGCA